AUUAGAAAGUCAGAGGGACAUUAAAUAUUAGAAUUAGAGAUAAAGGGCAUAUGACAGACAGUAAAAGAGAAAUCAUCGUUUCCCUUCCUCCAACCCACCCGCCCACCUCCCGGAACGCAGUGGGUUAAUCAAUUUGCAAGCUUGUGCCCGUGUCAUUCCUCGGAUUGGAUCUUGGGUGCAACUCUCUUCUGGAGAACUGCUCAGAAGCCCAGGGCUGGAUACGUUCAAGGGCACCAAGAGCCCGGUCCCAAAUUCUUCCAGGCCAGAGGGCUCCCUUAUUAUCUUCUGCUCACCUGCUGCCACUGCCAUCUGCGGAGCUGAGCAUCCGCACAGAGCGGGAGGGGGUGAAAGAAAACACAGGCCCCCAAAGCUGCUGCACUUACCAUAAUGUGAGUCGGGCCUCAAAUUUCCUCGGGAGAGCUCCCCGGAAUCCCUUCCCCAGCCCCAAGGCCGAGUGAGCGAUCCUGCAGUCGCAGCACUACCAGGACCGCAACGGUAGCGGCAGCAGGAGAGGUGGUAAAGGCGCAAUCGAGCUGCAGCGGAGGCGGCGGCGGCGGCGGCGGCGGUAGCGGGGGUAGCAGCGGUGGCAGCCAGAGCCGGGAGCAGAACCCCCCUCGCUCCGCCCUGAUUGCCACCUCCAAGCGGCCAAUGAAGAGUUCGGCCGUGGGGCUGCUUUUUUUUGUCCUCUGCCUCUCGACCAAUCAACUCUAGAGGAGGGAAUUCGGAUGCCCUGAAACGAAGCUGUCUACAAUGUUCCCAGAGUCACCUCUACUGUCUUGGGGUGCCAGGGACUGGGAAGAAGCGGUUGUAACUAUCGCGGAGAGGCCUGGAGUCCGGCUUUGGGGCUAGUUGUUGUUUUCCGGGGAGAAUAUUUUUCGAGAGGCCGGUUGUUAAGGAUAAAUAUGAAGGUCGCUGCCACCCAGUAACCCAACUCUCGUGUUGACUAUGGGUGUGAUUCUAUAUUGUCACCUCCCUUAUUUGAAAGAGCCCUCGUCAAGUUUAUUCUGUAAAAUUUAUUCUGUAGGGUCUUGGUCCAUUCGCUAUAAUGUCAAACCAACCCAAAUAAAUUUGUUUAAAGCGUAA